rnacentral:rRNA from 1 species
AUAGCAUAUCAAUAAGCGGAGAAAAGAACCACCGGGAUUGCCCUAGUAACGGCGAGUGAAGCGGCAAGAGCUCAAAUUUGAAAGCUGGCCCCCUCGGGGUCCGCAUUGUAAUUUGCAGAGGAUGCUUCGGGAGCGGUCCCCAUCUAAGUGCCCUGGAACGGGCCGUCAUAGAGGGUGAGAAUCCCGUAUGGGAUGGGGUGCCCGCGCCCGUGUGAAGCUCCUUCGACGAGUCGAGUUGUUUGGGAAUGCAGCUCUAAUUGGGUGGUAAAUUUCAUCUAAAGCUAAAUAUUGGCCGGAGACCGAUAGCGCACAAGUAGAGUGAUCGAAAGAUGAAAAGCACUUUGAAAAGAGAGUUAAACAGCACGUGAAAUUGUUGAAAGGGAAGCGCUUGCGAUCAGACUCGCCCACGGGGUUCAGCCGGCAUUCGUGCCGGUGUACUUCCCCGCGGGCGGGCCAGCGUCGGUUUGGGCGGUCGGUCAAAGGCCCCUGGAAUGUAACGCCUCUCGGGGCGUCUUAUAGCCAGGGGUGCCAUGCGACCUGCCCGGACCGAGGAACGCGCUUCGGCUCGGACGCUGGCAUAAUGGUCGUAAGCGACCCGUCUUGAAACACGGACCAAGGAGUCUAACAUCUACGCGAGUGUUCGGGUGUCAAACCCGUGCGCGCAGUGAAAGCGAACGGAGGUGGGAACCCUCACGGGUGCACCAUCGACCGAUCCUGAUGUCUUUGGAUGGAUUUGAGUAAGAGCGUAGCUGUUGGGACCCGAAAGAUGGUGAACUAUGCCUGAAUAGGGCGAAGCCAGAGGAAACUCUGGUGGAGGCUCGCAGCGGUUCUGACGUGCAAAUCGAUCGUCAAAUUUGGGUAUAGGGGCGAAAGACUAAUCGAACCAUCUAGUAGCUGGUUCCUGCCGA